UCUAGAGAUAGAUGCUGAGAUUUCUAAGCGA
rnacentral:piRNA from 1 species